rnacentral:lncRNA from 1 species
UCGAGGCGUGCCGUACCAAAAAAAUCUCAAAAUGCAUGGCUCUCGCUUAAUUAACUGUUAAUCCUUAGAAUUCAAGGCGUGCCAUUAGAGAACUUUCCAUGACCCUCGCAAAGCUAAAAAUGCAUAGUUGCUUUAGGCGCGUUAUUUUAAUAAUUAACUUCCUUAAACUCGGGCGUGCAUUUCAUGUGACCCAAUUUCAAAUCCUAGCAAUGUUAAAUAAUAAAUGUCGCGGAUCAUGGGAACAUUUCAUGUGGUGUGAUCCAAAGAGGAGUUUUAAAUAGCGUUGAAUUUUCCUAAAAAUUUAAUAAUUAAAAAAGAGGUUUAAUAAGCUUAAAAUAGACCAUAGGCUAAAACGUAUAUUAAAAUCAGAUAAUAUGCC